rnacentral:rRNA from 1 species
AGUGAACGCCGGCGGCAGGCCUAACACAUGCAAGUCGAGCGGCAGCGCGGGGGCAACCCUGGCGGCGAGCGGCGGACGGGUGAGGAAUGCAUCGGAAUCUACCUCGUUGUGGGGGGAUAACGUAGGGAAACUUACGCUAAUACCGCAUGAGACCGAGAGGUGAAAGUGGGGGACCCGCGAGGGCCUCACGCGAUGAGAUGAGCCGAUGCCGGAUUAGCUAGUUGGCGGGGUAAAGGCCCACCAAGGCGACGAUCCGUAGCUGGUCUGAGAGGAUGAUCAGCCACACUGGAACUGAGACACGGUCCAGACUCCUACGGGAGGCAGCAGUGGGGAAUAUUGGACAAUGGGCGCAAGCCUGAUCCAGCCAUGCCGCGUGUGUGAAGAAGGCCUACGGGUUGUAAAGCACUUUUGUUGGGGAAGAAAACCUGCCGGUUAAUACCUGGCGGGAAUGACGGUACCCAAGAAUAAGCAACCGGCUAACUUACGUGCCAGCAGCCGCGGUAAU